GUAAUCCCAUUGCCCCCAAUUGGCUCCUCAGCUAUGGAUUAUUGCGACAAGGCCGACCACCAGAGAAUGGCGAAAAAAAAUAGAGAAAUUGAAAUAACCCGUGGGAAAGAUUUAUGGAAAAAGAGAAAUUAGUCAGGGUCAUUCACUGAAACUCUGGUCAUCGACUCACCCGUUAAAGGCUCGGAUUAUCUAUCGAUAGCUACCAUCAGGACCUCGCACUUGCAGAGGGAUGAGCCCAAGGAUAACUAGGAUGAUCUCGUUACUACGGAUCCUAUAACUCACAUCCAACGAGAUGCUGAUAAUUUUUUUUUUAUUCAGCCCGAGGAGUUUCGUAACUGUACUCGCGCACAGAUUGAAGUGAUAACUCAGUUGUCAUGAUUUAUCAGGCACUCCCACGGUAUUCUACCCCUGGAUCGAAGUAAAAGGGAAGUGUGAGUCACUCUAUCGACGUGAACAGGCGUUCAACAGGCGUUCAUUGGAGAAUUAUCGCUCCUUGAUUGGUGGGAAAUGACUGAUUCUCUCAGGCACUUUUCAGACCAAAAAAAGGGCAGACCACUCGAGAUGAACGUCGAAGAGGAUCCGCGGAGCUGGAGAUGGUUCGCAAGGAGUUAUUCACAUGACACAGCGGUGGAGGAUGGUCACAACACUUCAGUGUUGGUUAUAAUAUCCAGGAACAACAGAAAAUGGCGUUUAUCGAGUGACUUCGUCUUCAAUAACUGGCAUCGGGCGAGUGACGACUUCGGGAAAGUUUAGGCAUUGCCACCGCCGUCUGGAGGACAUUACUUCAUCGAUAAUAUUCCUAGAUCUUCGCGUAUGGGGAAAUUCCCUAGAUUCUCCAGCCGACGAGGGAGAACAGGAAUAGGAGCUCAGGCCAUUAGAGGACAUUGAAGAUAUUCGAGUCAAGGAUUUAUUGCUAUAUGGAAGCUGAACGCAUGGAGUCCACUGAAUUUUUUGGCGGCGAUUAUCCUACGUCCCAUUCAAAGAGGAUGGUCUCCGUUCUGGAGACUCAGGGCUAAAGGCGAAGAGGAUUGACUACAGUAGAGGCUCAGUUCAGGGGGUUGGAGUGACGUUGGAGGGAGGGCGCCAUACGCAAUGGGGGUGUCUGCCCGUCAGCUGACUCGGUAACUGCCUCAGUAACAGUCCCGCUAUCAGAGGGACCAGUUGACAGGAUGAAUGUUAUUUUCUGCGUUACGAAAUUGAUAUUCACUGAAAUUAAAAAAUUUUAUGGAGUCACUUAAAUAUUUUGCCCUCAUGUGAUCCUUAAUCAAGUCCAAUUAACCUUUAACCAAAUCCAAUUAACCCUUAACCAAGUCCAAUUAACCCUUAAUCAAAUCCACUUAACCCUUAACCGGGUCCAAUUAACCCUUAACCAAAUCCAAUUAACCCUUAACCAAAUCCACUUAAGCCUAACCAUGUCAAAUUAACCCUUAACCAAAAUUUUUAAAAAAAUAUCGACAAUUUUUUUUUAAAACUUUUGGUUAAGGGUUAAUUAA